GGAAGGGUGGCUGAGUGGUCAAAAGCACCCGGUUGCUAACCGGGCGGGGUUUACACCCCGCGCGGGUUCAAAUCCCGCCCCUUCCGCCA
rnacentral:tRNA from 2 species